AAUGGCCGAAAGGCUGAACCAGUAACUUGGAAGAAUGUAAAUGUAUUCAAGAAAUACAAUAACGAUUAACUCGUAUAAAAUUCUAAAUAGGAUAAUGAUAAUGACAAUUUCCUAUUUAUAAGUCUUGACCAAAUUACGUGCCAGCAGUCGCGGUAAUACGUAGAAGACUAGUGUUAGUCAUCUUUAUUAGGUUUAAAGGGUACCUAGACGGUAAAUUAAACUCUAAAUGAGUACUUUUUUACUAGAGUUUUAUGUGAGAAGGAAGAACUUCUGGAGUAGGGAUAAAAUACGCAAAUACCAGAAGGACUGAUAACGGCGAAGGCGUCCUUCUAUGUAAAAA
rnacentral:rRNA from 1 species